GCACAUGCAAAUCUCUCCCUCUCCCCCCUCAUACUCGGCUCUCUCUCUUCUCUCUUCUCUCCUUCUCUCUUCUCAUUCUCCUGCACCAUUAAGAGGGUGACAUACUCACCAUUUAUCAUCCCAUUUAAUUGCAAGAUACACAUUGAUGGAAGCAAUCCCUCCAUCACAUCCUCUCAUCAAAGCAUCAAGACAAGCAAGCUAUCUCUCUCCCUUUUUCUUCUCCUUCGGCAGCCCCUCCCCUCUCACUCCACCACACUUUUUCUUUCUUGUUUCACCAAUUAUAGUAAGGAUUAAGGAAGCCAAAAGUGCUAGCAUCACACUAAGGCCAUCAAGGGUGCAUCAAUCUUAAGCACAAGCUCCAAGAGGCUUACGCAUCAUCCCCUACUCCACCUCCAUUAAUCUUGUUGGUAGCAACCUCAAUUCUCC
rnacentral:lncRNA from 1 species